rfam:Heligmosomoides polygyrus genome assembly, scaffold: HPBE_scaffold0014814
GCGCCGGUGGUGUAAUGGCGCAGAGCAUUCACGCCCGGUCAGAGGGAGGUGCGGGUUCGAGUCCCGCCUGGCGCU